rnacentral:rRNA from 1 species
CCUACGGGUGGCAGCAGUGAGGAAUAUUGGUCAAUGGACGGGAGUCUGAACCAGCCAAGUCGCGUGAGGGAUGACUGCCCUGUGGAUUGUAAACUUCUUUUAUCAUGGAAUAAACACUGGGACGCGUCCCCUUUUGUAUGUACCUGAUGAAUAAGCAUCGGCUAACUCCGUGCCAGCAGCCGCGGUAAUACGGAGGAUCCGAGCGUUAUCCGGAUUUCUUGGGUUUAAAGGGGGCGCAGGUGGUUUGUUAAGUCAGUGGUGAAAGUUUGCGGCUCAACCGGAAAAAUGCAAUUGAUACUGGAAGACUGGAGUGCAGUAGAGGUGGGUGGAAUUCGAGGUGUAGCGGUGAAAUGCGUAGAUAUCUGGAAGAACACCGAUUGCGAAGGCAGCUCACUG